AGCAAAUCCGAAACUACUACUUUCUUGUUCAAGAAGGAGAUCAUUUUUCCAUCAUUUUACGGCCGUCAAUUAUGUACCGGAAUCUUUGAAAUUGAGGGCAAGGGUUUCCUUAUUUCCGUUUUUGUUUACCAAAAGUGAAGACAUUGAGAGCCUUAAGCAGGAGCUUCUCGAAGCCAUAGCCCCACUUGAUCGCGGUGCUGAGGCCACUCCUGAAGAUCAAAAGCUUGUUGAUCAGGACUUAAUUGGCCGUUGGGCGUAGAUUGCAUAACAAUAAGGGCAUAUAUAUCAACGUCGCCGAGUUUGAUCAAUUUCGAGUUUUUACGAGGGAGAUAUGCUGUUUUGAAGACAUAAACUUGGUUCCAGCUGGUGUCGAGAUUAUCAUUUUUGUAAGUAGGAGUGUUCAACCAACAUAAUGGAGAUGAGUUGGGGGUGUCUAGAUAUGCAUACUCAAUGUUGGAGUGUUUACUUGCCAGAUUGCAAGCAAACUUGAGGCAGCUAAUAAAGUGAAGGAGCCCCUGAAGUCAAGCUUACUGAAUGGAAAGUGGGAGCUUUUGUAUACUACAUCUCAAUCAAUUCUACAAACCAAGAGGCCCAAAUUCUUGAGAGCCAAUGGAAAAAUUGGCUACAAACUGUGUGUUUGAUUAGAUUCUUCAUUGCUAGUGCCUUUUAAUGUGCUUCAUUUCUAACUGUUGUGACAAGGUUCUUGUUAGUUUAUUAUUGUCGCAGAGGCCCAAAUUCUUGAGAGCCAAUGGAAAAAUUUACCAGGCUAUCAAUGCAGAUACAUUGAGGGCUCAAAAUAUAGAAACAUGGCCAUUUUUCAAUCAGGUCCCUUUUUGAACUCAUAGAGAAACAUCAAAGGAUCUCCAGUCUUUCUUUCUUUUUCUGUGAAAUAUUGUCCUAUUUAAUCUGUAACUUGUAAAAAUUUACCUGUUUCUCCAGCUAUUGUAUUAUUAAGGCUCAGAAAUCUAGUCAAGUUAGAUUUAUUUGCAAUUCAAGGACUAAAUCUUUUAGCAGGAGUACUUGUGCUGUACCUCAGGGUGCUUCAUACACACGCACGUCCAUCUGGUAACUUGAUUUUCUGGUCUGUGAUUUAUAUUGGAUACCUCUUUAGUUUUGUCACCUUCAUGAGUAGAUGCAGCCUUCGAAUUUCAAAUAAGGUAGUUUUCAAAACUAUUGUAAACAAAUUCUGCUCACACACACACACAUUCUUUAUGUCAUGAAAUAUUUCCAUAAAAUAAACCACACAGAAAAAGAAAAAGAUUGUUUUUUAUCUCAGUAUUAUUAUGUGAUUUAGUUAAUAAGCUGCUGGAGCUGCUUCCUUUUAUGGAAGUUUGCUGUGAAAACGGUAAUGCACAAAAGUGAUGCUUUAUUUCAGUUGGGACAGAUAGAAUAGGCUGUCUUUUGCGCCUUUGAAAAUAGAUAAAACUCUAUAAUUAUCAUGAUGAGAUUCUCAUUGUCCUGGAUUCCAAGAGAAAAACUCGAUAUAUGUUUAAGAAAGGGUCAUCCACUGCCAGUUACUAUAAAAGAAAAUAUUUCCUUUUGAUUUUUGCAAUAAAGUUGAAGUCAGUUUUCUAACAUAUCUGCAGGCAACUGCCAAUUUAGUUCCUCUUAAUGCACGGAGAGUUGCUGUAAAAUUUGACUCUUUCAAGAUAGCAAGUCUGAUACCUAUAAAGAACCGAGGAAGUGGUCGUGGUGAACUUGAAAUCACAUACCUGGAUGAAGAACUAAGGAUAUCAAGGGGCAACCAAGGAAACCUGUUUAUUCUAAGAAUGGUGGAUCCAUCAUAUAGAGUCCCU